rnacentral:rRNA from 1 species
CCUACGGGAUGCAGCAGUGGGGAAUAUUGCACAAUGGGGGAAACCCUGAUGCAGCGACGCCGCGUGAAGGAAGAAGUAUUUCGGUAUGUAAACUUCUAUCAGCAGGGAAGAAAAUGACGGUACCUGCCUACGCCGCCCCGGCUAACUCCGUGCCAGCAGCCGCGGUAAUACGGAGGGGGCAAGCGUUAUCCGGAUUUACUGGGUGUAAAGGGAGCGUAGGCGGCGAUGCAAGUCAGAAGUGAAAGCCCGGGGCUCAACUCCGGGACUGCUUUUGAAACUGUGUUGCUAGAUUGCAGGAGAGGUAAGUGGAAUUCCUAGUGUAGCGGUGAAAUGCGUAGAUAUUAGGAGGAACACCAGUGGCGAAGGCGGCUUACUGGACUGUAAAUGACGCUGAGGCUCGAAAGCGUGGGGAGCAAACAGGAUUAGAUACCCUUGUAGUC